GCGACCCAGGUCAGACGGGACUACCCG
rnacentral:rRNA from 2 species